GACGAACGCUGGCGGCGUGCUUAACACAUGCAAGUCGAACGGGUCUGCCCUGUUUUUUGCGGGGUGGGUCAGUGGCGAACGGGUGAGUAACACGUGAGUAACCUGCCCCUCACUUCUGGAUAACCGCUUGAAAGGGUGGCUAAUACGGGGUGUUCUGGCUGUGCCGCAUGGUGUGGCUGGGAAAGAUUCACUUUUGUGGUGUUUUGGUGGGGGAUGGGCUCGCGGCCUAUCAGCUUGUUGGAGGGGUGAUGGCCUGCCAAGGCUUUGACGGGUAGCCGGCCUGGGAGGGUGGGCGGUCACACUGGGACGGAGAUACGGCCCAGACUCCUGCGGGAGGCAGCAGUGGGGGGUAUUGCACAAUGGGCGGAAGCCUGAUGCAGCGACGUCGCGUGAGGGAUGGAGGCCUUCGGGUUGUGAACCUCUUUCGCCGGUGAAGAAGGUCCUGCUCUUUGUGGUGGGGUUGACGGUAGCCGGGUUAUGAAGCGCCGGCUAACUACGUG
rnacentral:rRNA from 1 species